rnacentral:rRNA from 1 species
UGGGGAAUAUUGGACAAUGGGGGCAACCCUGAUCCAGCAAUGCCGCGUGUGUGAAGAAGGUCUUCGGAUUGUAAAGCACUUUCGACGGGGACGAUGAUGACGGUACCCGUAGGAAGAAGCCCCGGCUAACUUCGUGCCAGCAGCCGCGGUAAUACGAAGGGGGCUAGCGUUGCUCGGAAUGACUGGGCGUAAAGGGCGUGUAGGCGGUUUACACAGUCAGAUGUGAAAUCCCCGGGCUUAACC